rnacentral:lncRNA from 1 species
AAGUUUACAAAAGCUAUGGAUCAAAGUUCUAAGAGCUUGGAUGCUUAUGUUGCUUAUUCCCGAGGAGGAGGAUGUGGAUGCACCCCCAUGUGUACGUAAGGACACACGAGCUAAAGGCUUUACCUGACCCAGUAAAAGUGUCAAGCGCUCCAUCUCCAGUCGUGGCUGUGGUUUCACUGCUGUUCAAGGGCUCUGUUUUGACUGCAAGAAGAGACACUACGUAGAAGAAUAAGUACAUAAAAUAAGCUGCAUUCAUACUAAGUGAGCAUCAACAAGCACCUCUUGAUCUCUAAGACAGCAAACCAAAAUCAUUACAUGCAAUAAAAUGGAAGCAAAAUCCUUUUAUAGAAGACAAGCACCGUAUUUCUCAACCAAAUGCAAGCUUACACACCAAAUGUUUUGAUUUCAAAAGAAACAAUAUUUUAAUGUCCUAGGUUGAAGAGUUUUGUGGGAUUAUUAUUCUGUAUCUUCAAAGUAAGUGAGUCAGAGCUCGUUUUGCUAAAAGUGGCAUAAAAUUACUUUCUAUACCACUUUGUCGAGAACCGUUAAGAAAUCCUUGUACUGUCAGGUCCCCCUCCCCACUAGUUAGCUACUUGCAAUUUGGAUGUUUCUGAUAGAGUCAAAUGGUAAAAAUAAAUAAACAUACAUGAUUGGCUUUUCCAUUUUUUUAGCUUUAAAAAUAAUUCUUAUCUAUAGACUAAAUCAAGGUCAUACAUAAUUAUUGUCAGGUACCAGUAAUGGCUACUAAAUCACAGAUUUCCUGUCUUCACAUCCC